UCUCUCUACUCUUUAAUUCAUUGUUCUCUCUCUACUCUGCUCCUUGAAACGUCUAGUUUGAGGAAAAUGAAAAUGCACAUUCGCCGGAUUCUCUCUCUAUCUCCUCUGCUUUCACAGUCGCCCGCUCUUCUCUCUCUUCUCUCUCUCUGUGUGAGUGGUGUGUAGAUCAUAUCAGAGCAAUUAUUAGUGCUUUCCUUUCUCCGGCAGUGCCGUUGACGGAAGCUAAGCCAGCUUUUGAAGCUCCCGAAUCAUAGAGGAGAAGGGAUGAUGAUGUCCGUCGAAGGUCCUGCUGCCGGAGGAUCUUCAAUUAGAAGCAUACUUCCCUUCCCCUAAAGAUGCCCUCAGGACGAGCAGAGCACAAAUGGCCGGGAAAUGGCGGUCGCUACGUGAGGUGAGGUGAGGUAUUGUACGAGAGAUUGCAUCCAUUCGAUCAGUUGGAGGAGGAUAUAUAAAAUAUUCUGAGAGGUUUCUCAUUCCGCCUAUUUGAAAAGGACAUGUGUCUCCAUCUAGUCGAGACACAAAGAGGUUAUGAGCUAGAAGACGAUCUCGGUCUUAUUUGUUAGAAGUCUAUCGGGAGACUUGUGGAAAUCAUCUACGUCAUCAAAGCAAUGGUUGAAGGAAGCUCACGACCUCGCCUCUUGGGAGAGGGACGACGACUUGACGAUAACAGAGGUGCUUUCGUGGGAGGGAAAGACCCUUGAGCUGUCGAGAAAUAAGGUCCCCACGCGAAGAACACAAGAAGCGAAGAACGGCCUAGGCUGCCACUCCCGAUAAGGUUGUCCCAGACAUUGAUGGUCCAACAGAGGAGACAAAAGGAGAUCUUAUUAACUGUCUCGAUUUUAGGGUUUUGUCAAAUUGAAAUAUGAGGUGACAUUUGCUUUGAUUUCUUGCUCGAGGUUCGUCAAAUAGAAAUCUAAGACUUACCAUGGCCCGAGAACUAUUACCAUGAGUUGUAAUUGGCUUGUCGUGGGUAGGACGACCAUGGAAGUGAAGUGAUCAGUUAGAGAAGAGAGAAGAAGGGUAUGAAGAUAAAGAUGACGAUGAAUAGUGCUUUGAGAGAAAGGGUAGGGCAAAUUUGAAAAAAUUUAAAAAAUUUGGGUCUUUUUGAAAUUUUGAAAAGGUUGUAGUGAAGUUGAACGAAAUGUAACUUUGUUACCAAACAGGCUUUAAGCCUCAUGGUCAUGAAGUCUCGUGGAAAUAAAAGCAUAUAGGGAGUUGUAGUGAAGUGACUGAGGCUAAAGAUUUUCUUAAGGCAAUUAAGGAACAAUUUGCCAAAAUAGAUAAGGCCUUGGCAAGUACCCUAAUAAAGAGGCUGACUAGCAAGAACUUCGACAAUUCAAAGGGCGUGCAUGUGCACAUUACGGAAAUGAGAGACUUGGCAGCUCAACUCAAAACUCUUGAGAUUGAUAUCUUCGAGGCAUUUUUGGUUCGCUUCAUUCUCAACUCCUUACUAGCUAAGUAUGGGCCUUUUAAAAUCUCCUACAACGAACAUAAGGAGGAGUGGUCCAUUACAGAACUCUUGACCAUGUGUGUCCAAGAGGAGGAGAUCAUGAAGCAGGACAAGCCCGAAGUUGCCCAUGAAGGAUGGGCAUGUAAAGAAAGAUUACCCUAAAUAUAAGAAGUGGCUUGAAAAGAAAGGGCUUUCCCAACCUAAGGAAUCCGACGGAAAAUGAGAGGUUCGUCUAUUCAAGGAAUAAGAGAUGCUCUCAAGUCGUUUGAGUUGGGAUAUUUAAGAUAAUUAUGUCUUCGGGGUAUGCUUCACAUUUCAAUAAUGUUUUUUACAUUCUAGACUAGUUGUAUUAAAUUACGACCAUGUUUGGCACUUAAACAAUUUUUUACUCAACUCUAUUUAUGGUAGCUAAAGACAAAUGCAAGCUAGCUUUUUCUUCGAUGGUGGGGUCAAUAAGGUAGAAAAGAGGGCACGGCGUGCACUACCCUGCAUGGUAGGUCGAAUUUUUUUUCUUUGUCCUUUUCUUUUUUGAUGCCUUCUUACUAUUGUCGAAUUUGUAUUUGCUAACCUCAUGUGCUUCCUGAUGGUGAGAUUUUGGUUAUUUUUUCCUC